CCUACGGGCGGCAGCAGUGGGGAAUAUUGGGCAAUGGAGGAAACUCUGACCCAGCAACGCCGCGUGAAUGAUGAAGGUCUUCGGAUUGUAAAGUUCUUUUCUAAGGGGAGAAGAAAGUGACGGUACUUUAGGAAUAAGCCUCGGCUAACUACGUGCCAGCAGCCGCGGUAAUACGUAGGCGGCAAGCGUUAUCCGGAAUGACUGGGCGUAAAGGGUGCGUAGGUGGUUUGACAAGUUGGUAGCGAAACUCCGGGGCUCAACCUCGGAACUACUACCAAAACUGUCGGACUUGAGUACAGGAGAGGCAAAUGGAAUUCCUAGUGUAGCGGUGAAAUGCGUAGAUAUUAGGAGGAACACCAGUGGCGAAGGCGGUUUGCUGGACUGGAACUGACACUGAGGCACGAAAGCGUGGGGAGCAAACAGGAUUAGAUACCCCAGUAGUC
rnacentral:rRNA from 1 species